rnacentral:snRNA from 1 species
GUUCGCGAAGUAACCCUUCGUGGACAUUUGG